rnacentral:misc_RNA from 1 species
AGGGGCCAUAAGGUAAUUGUGAAUCUGUGUGGUGGCGUAGGAACAAAGUUAAAGGUCGAACGUUGGAGGAGGUUAUGGUUCUGUGUCGGAGAGAUAGAGUCAUUGAAGUGCCAUUUACAUUAUAGACAGUGAAAUAAGUAAGGACGAAAAGAAGAGAAUUGCAGUGAGUGGCGUUAGGUGUUUGUGUGGCAAUGAAGGAAUGGGUGAGGAUCACGGGUUAAACCCUGAUGGGCCCUUGGGCCACUGAAAAUGGAAGUUUGUAAAUAUGAAAAGAAAAGGAGCGGGGUGUGGGGG